rnacentral:rRNA from 1 species
UCGAGAAUCAUUCGCAAUGGGCGAAAGCCUGACGAUGCGACGCCGUGUGAGCGAUGAAGGCCUUCGGGUCGUAAAGCUCUUUCGCCUGGGAACAAGAGAAGCUGGCUAAUAUCCAGCCAAUUUGAGGGUACCAGGUAAAGAAGCACCGGCUAACUCCGUGCCAGCAGCUGCGGUAAUACGGAGGGUGCAAGCAUUAAUCGGAUUUAUUGGGCGUAAAGGGCGCGUAGGCGGGAAUGAAAGUCAGAUGUGAAAUCCCGGGGCUCAACCUCGGAACAGCAUUUGAAACUCCAUUUCUUGAGGGUAGGCGGAGAAAAUGGAAUUCCACAAGUAGCGGUGAAAUGCGUAGAUAUGUGGAAGAACACCAGUGGCGAAGGCGAUUUUCUAGCUUAUACCUGACGCUAAGGCGCGAAAGCAAGGGGAGCAAACAGGAUUAGAUACCCGCGUAGUCC